rnacentral:lncRNA from 1 species
AUCUUCCUUGAUAAGUUUAUUAUUUCCUGUCCUGCCCACACUGGACUAAUAAACCGACCUUCAGCUGGGUUACUCCCUCCUCUGGUGGGCCUGGAGGUCAUGCUAUCCAGUGAGAAAUUACCCUCAACGGCUGCAGUUGUUAUACAAAAGCUGCCCAAUGGUUUCCAAGAGCUGAUAAAUUCGGGAGGCAGAUGAGGAUUGAAGUCUUCGCCAGCCUUCUAAAACCACAAAAAGUCUCAGCUUUUGGGAUGAGGAUGAGUAAUAGGAGGGACCCACGCCUGGCUUGGCCUCCUCCGUAUCAUAGAAUCAUAGAAUGGCCUUGGUAGAAAAGGACCACAAUGAUCAUCUGGUUUCAACCCCCCUGUUAUGUGCAGAGUCGCCAACCACCAGACCAGGCUGCCCAGUUAUAGUGGUUUUCUAUCCAGAAGUUAACUGAAGGAUGUUAUGCCCACUGGGUCAGCAUCAAGUUUCAAGUCAUCAGGGACCAGCGUUUUAGGCUGUAAUUAUUUCCUUCCUUGCAGUGCUUAUCUCCUUGCACUGACUGGAGAGAGGGUUUCGCCACCACUCCAAACUAGCUGAGAAAUGAAUCAAUAUCAGUGAAUGACAGUGCAAGACUGCAUCCAACCAUACAUCCAACACCCUGCUAUAAGAGUGGGUAAAAGCAGAUGCUCAGGGAAGAGAAAGUGGAAAUAUUCAGCAUCCUCAACACUUUGCAGCAAGAAGUUCCACUGCUCUUGCAAAGAAAAAAACUCCAUUUGAGUUCAUUUUUAACUGAACUGAUCUGUCAUUAGCUUCCUUCAAUGGCCCUUCCUCUUCAAUGGCAAAAAGUUAAUCCUCUCCAUACUUCAGUAGAUUACCAGCCUUUAUUAUCCCUCCUCAGUUGUCACUAGCACAGGUUUAAUCCCUUUCCCAGCUUCUCAUUUCACUGCUGAAUUACUCCAAACUUAUGCAAGUAUCAGACAAUUGACUUGCAUGGUCAUCUGAACCUAGCUAUAGCAGUUACGCAAGGAGGAGGAAAAAACACAUUUCUGGAUUAUCUCGUGACGCUUUGCUGAUGCACACAUUUUUAUUGACUUCUGCUGGAUCAAUUUUUGAUGUCUGUGUAGGUUUUUUUUUUUUUAAGCAGACGCCAGCAAAUUUAUUUGGGAUUGACAACCUAGAUGUGUAGAGAGAUACAGUAGCACAGAUGUCACUGCAAUGAGACGCAAGGACACCAAGGAAGAUGAAAAUCUCGUGAUAUGGAAGGAGCGUGAGAAAUCAGAUUCAAGUCCAUGAAGGCAUUCGUGACCCUGUGAGUUAAAGACGUUGGUGACUCUUUGUAGGACUGAAGACUCAACUAGCAAAAAGAACUUAUGAAUUCAAAUACGUUUGAACAAAUAGCUCUCAACUCCUUCUAUAUAAACUUUUUUUUUUCCCCCCCCCCACAUAUGAGACUUUCUAUUUUUGUUUGUCUCAUUUUUGACCAAACCUUUGUUUUGGUUGAAUGUCUUGAAUUUCCUUUGUUGUGAUUGAGAAGAUACUUCCAAAAAAGGAAAGAAAGGAAAACUCAGUGGCUUUUUCUCUGGCUGACUUUAUUUCAUAGUAAAUGAAGAGGAUUUAUUUUUGUGCACGCUUGUAUAUUAUUUCUGAAGAGCUACAGAAUAUCAGGGAAAUAAACAGAUUGCCC